AUUAAUAUAGGAGAUAGAGUGAAUGGGAAGAGCCGUCAGCAUUUCAUUGACACGAUUAAUGGGAGAUUUACUAUUUACUCUACUGCUGUAUUUAAUAAUCAAAGAACGAAAAUUAUUUGUAAUCAAAUAUGAAAUAUCCAGUUUAUUUAUUAAGAUGAUAUUUGUAUUACGAGGCAAUUGUAUUUUAUACAACAAGCGAGUAGACAUAUUUUUUGGAUUUGCAGGAUCCGAUUCGCCCCUUUAAAAAUUUUCAUCUUAGGAAGACCACAAUGGGUUACAAAAGCCAUCCCUUUUGCAUUAAGUUCAUUAGAGACUACUUACUUACGUUUGUAAGAUUGACUGCCAAAAGUUUGGCAUUCCCUAAUUUUGAACAUAUAUACUAAUCCUUUUCACGCUAUAUCCUUUUUUUCAUUUUUAAUGUAGGGUUCUGCC
rnacentral:lncRNA from 1 species